rnacentral:rRNA from 1 species
UACGUAGGUGGCGAGCGUUGUCCGGAUUUACUGGGCGUAAAGAGCGCGCAGGCGGUCGUACAAGUCGCGUGUGAAAGCCCCCGGCUCAACUGGGGAGGGUCACGCGAUACUGUUCGACUCGAAGGCAGGAGAGGGAAGCGGAAUUCCCGGUGUAGUGGUGAAAUGCGUAGAUAUCGGGAGGAACACCAGUGGCGAAGGCGGCUUCCUGGCCUGUUCUUGACGCUGAGACGCGAAAGCGUGGGGAGCAAACAGG